UGAUUUCCGGUGACGGUACUUGACGCAUCACGUGUCAUUUGUCGGGGAGCAGCUCGUCUUUCCUGGUUUCGUGUGAUGAAAAUGGCACAAUGGGUCUUCAGGGUAUUUUCACCUGACAUUUAAGAAUGGAAAGGUGUAUUUACGACGGGAACCGAUGGGGUCCUUUCCUCCGACUUGUCUUCGGAUUCGCUCUCAGAUGAUGGAAAGUCUGGUAUUGCUGAAUAGAGAGAGCAAUUCAAUUUAAUCAAUUUGUAAUGAUUGUAAGAAUCACCAAGGUACUUUAAAGUAAAAUCUUA